rnacentral:lncRNA from 1 species
CUAAUUCGAUUUUUUUCAAUUGCUGGAUCGCCAAAACAUGACUUCUAUGCUGCUGAUUUUGGAUGGGGAAGGGCCGUGAAGUUAGAAUUCAUUUCUCUUGACAAUGAUGAUGGUGGAAUUUCGAUGUCUCUUAGUAAAUCUAAGGACUUUGAUGGAGAUUUAGAGAUUGGUUUGUCUUUGUCUAAAACUCAAAUGAAUGCUUUUGCUGCUAUAUUCACUCACGGACUUAACUUUCUAUACCAAGUCUGAGUGUUCGAGGAUUUGGGAAGGACCCCUACCAACAAAAAUAGACAUAAAGACUAUCCUCUAGUUUUGUCAUAGAUGAAAUACUUCAAAUUGUAGUUGUAAUACUACUCCAAAUAAGAAUCCCUUUUCAAAUCGUUAUUGGUGCAUCUUGAUCAUCAUGUCAUCCAUGACUUUAUUAUUCAAUUGGUUUAUGUUAGUUCUUUAUGAUAUAUUAUCGAGGAUAUGACCUUGGAUAAGAAGAUGUGGAGUUCAUAUAAGGGUAGAAGGUUAUUACAGUAUGGGUGAACAAGAACUCAAUUAGUUCAAAUUUUUUAAAUAUCAAAUCAAAUCAUUUGUAUCAAAUUUUUAAAGUCCCUUUCUAUCGACUGUGGUAAUGAAUCCCUCAAUAAGUCUAGAAAUUCAGAUGGAGAUUUAGAAAUUAGCUUGUGUUUGCCUGAAAAGUGAAUGAAUGCUUGGUAUUUUGUAGCAAGUAAAGUUGAGCAUUCGAUUUCUCGGUUCAAUUUUACAUUUUUCAAUUCGAACCAAAAUAAGUUUGAUUUGAUUUUUCUCCUUGCGGUUCAUGAAUUUAGUUAUUCAACAUGUCAUUAUAAUGUAGUCGAAUAUAUAGUUAUAUUUGAAUAGGAAAAAGAACAAAUAUUAUUAAAUAAUAAUAUCAAAUCUCUUAAAUAUAUUUUUUAAUAGAAAGCAUGCCUAAAACUAUAAAAGUGGUGUUUCAAAGGUUAUCAAUACAUGUUCAUACCUCAAAGAUUGAGAAUGGGUCGUUUUAUACUCUACUAAAAAUAGGCCAGUUAGUGAGAAAUAUUUUAAGUGGUAAAAAUAUUCAUAACUCAAAAUAAUUUGAUUUUUCCGGUUUUAUUGUUCUAAAUCUAAAACAAAAUUAAAAAAAUUAAAAAAUUAAACUUCUCAAUCCGAAACUAGAUCAAAAUAUAAAGGGUUAAGACGCCCUAAAUUAUGUCUGAAAUUUCAGAGACUCACUUAAACUUAAACUUAACCCCCUAAAUUAACUUAAAAUGAAAUAAAUAUACCAUAAAUGUUGACGUGACAUAGAGAGUGUGCACACUCUUUUGAAGACAACUGAUGAAUGAAUAAAUUGGACACAUGUCAUUUUUAAUUGGUAACUUUAUAAUUAGUUAGUACACAUAUUUAUUGAUAUUAAAAUUUAUAUAUAUUUAAGGAAAAAUGGUAAAAAUUGCCCUUAAGCUAUGCGAAAGAACAAAAAUGUCACCCGUUUGUAGUUUGGUCCAAAAAUGUCAUUGUCGUCAAUACUUUGAUGCAAAAAUGUCCUUAUUGUUAUUUAAUGGGUUAACAAUGUUCAUUUUCCAAAUAAAUAUAUUAUUUAUUUUCUUUUUAACGCAUUCUUUUUCUAAUAAUGUUUUCUUUUAAAUUAGCAAAUGUUUAUCUUACUUCAAUUUGAAAAAAAAUAAAAAAUGAAAAUAUUUCUUAUUUUAUUAUAAUUAUUUUUUAUCGAUAUAUAAAUAUAAAUUAAUGAUAGAUAUACUAUGAUCUUAUAUAUAUGAUAAACAUUAUCUGCCGAAAGGGUACAUGCAGUUAUUCUAUUUUAAUUGAUAAAAUGAGAUUAAGAAGAAAAAAAUAUCUCCAACAUUUUUAUUGGUUAAAGUGAUUUAAAAGAAAGAAAACAAGAACAAUGUUCUUUAAUGAUAUUUAAUUAGGAAGAAGAUGUGUUCAAAAAGAAAAAAUAAUAUGUUUAUUCGGAAAAGGACAAUUUUGACCAUUUAGUAACUAUAGGAGCAUUUCUGGACCAAAGUAUUGAUUGCAAGGACAUUUUUGAAUCAAAGUAUUGACGACAAACAUAUUUUUUAGCCAAACUACAAACGGAUGAUAUUUUUGUUCUUUUCACAUAGUUUAUGGGCAUUUUGACUUUUUUCCCUAUAUUUAGUUAUUUUCAUUUUUUUUCUUUGUAAAAUAUUUAUUUUAACUUCUUUUUCACUUUAAACUUUUUUUUUCUUUCAUUAAUUUCUUUUGUUUUCACAUUUUAUUAUUUUAAAAAAAUAUGUGUAAUUUUUUUUAAAUACAAGAUAAAGAAAUAAGAAUAUUUUUUUAAAAGAGUAAAUAAAAUCAAAAAAAAAUGAAGGAUGAAGAAUGGGUCCUUAAUGGUAAUUGGUUAAAAGCGUUGGACAACACUACAACAAAUUAGAUUAUGAGGGACAAAUAAUUUCGUCAUCUAUAAAUUAUGUUUCGUCACUAAAAAUUUUGUGUGACGAAAAUUUUUUCGUCAAUCAGUCGUCACUAAACGUGUGUCACUAAAAGUAUACAAAGACGAUUUAGUGCUUUGUCGCUAAAACUAAUAUAUUAACUACAAAAAGCAAAAGCGUCCUCAAAUUCAUAAACAUUUGUGACGAAUUUAUUUGUCAUAAAAAGUGUAACUUUUUUUGUAGUUAAUAGUAUGUUUUGUCACUAAAAAGGUUAUUACUACCAACAAAACUACAUCGUUGCUAAUUAUUUAGUUCAAUCAGGGAUGACAUCAAUUGUCUCUAAAGUUAUAUGUAUUUUGUAGUUGAAAAAAUAUAAUAUCAUCACUAAAGACUAUUUUUUAUAUACAAAAAAAUAUUUUGUCCUUAAAUGUAUAAAUUAGGGACAAAUUUAUUAUUAUAAAAAAAGGUUAAUAAUUUUGUGAUUAAAUCUAUCAUUUUGUCACUAAAAGUGUUGCUUUUACCGACGACAUAUAUUGUCACUAAAUAUNNNNNNNNNNNNNNNNNNNNNNNNNNNNNNNNNNNNNNNNNNNNNNNNNNNNNNNNNNNNNNNNNNNNNNNNNNNNNNNNNNNNNNNNNNNNNNNNNNNNNNNNNNNNNNNNNNNNNNNNNNNNNNNNNNNNNNNNNNNNNNNNNNNNNNNNNNNNNNNNNNNNNNNNNNNNNNNNNNNNNNNNNNNNNNNNNNNNNNNNNNNNNNNNNNNNNNNNNNNNNNNNNNNNNNNNNNNNNNNNNNNNNNNNNNNNNNNNNNNNNNNNNNNNNNNNNNNNNNNNNNNNNNNNNNNNNNNNNNNNNNNNNNNNNNNNNNNNNNNNNNNNNNNNNNNNNNNNNNNNNNNNNNNNNNNNNNNNNNNNNNNNNNNNNNNNNNNNNNNNNNNNNNNNNNNNNNNNNNNNNNNNNNNNNNNNNNNNNNNNNNNNNNNNNNNNNNNNNNNNNNNNNNNNNNNNNNNNNNNNNNNNNNNNNNNNNNNNNNNNNNNNNNNNNNNNNNNNNNNNNNNNNNNNNNNNNNNNNNNNNNNNNNNNNNNNNNNNNNNNNNNNNNNNNNNNNNNNNNNNNNNNNNNNNNNNNNNNNNNNNNNNNNNNNNNNNNNNNNNNNNNNNNNAAAAAUAAAAAAGAAGACUAAGUUGUGAUUAGGCCUUAUAUGGUAUAGUCUCCGGUCAAUUACUGAACCACAGAGUGUGAAAAAUGAUAAUAAAACAUAGCCAAUAAAAGUUAGAUCUACAUAUUCAUUAAAGAUCAACUAGUGAUUAUGUGAAUAUAGGGUUAAAGAAUAUGAAAUACAAAGAAAAGACCUUUCUUGUUGAUUUCUUUUCAAUUUUUCUUUUCAUUUCUCUCUAUAUGUUUUGUUUUAAAGUUGAACGUGGGAGAUGAGAAAGGAAAAGAAGAUGUAGAAGAUAAAGAAGGAAAAAAAGAAGAUUUUUUUUCUCUUUUCUGUAUUAGUGUGAUUGAGCCACCUGAAAAGAAAGUUUUUUUUUUAUGUUUCCUAUUUUGAUUCUUUUAAUUGUUUUCCUUUUUAAAAUUAAUUAAUUGUCUUGAAAGAUAAAAAAAAAAAAGAACCAUCAAAAUCAAUGACUGAAAACCAGCAAUGCAAAUUGUCAUGGGGUCCACCUUAUAAGAUACUAGAAAAAAAUAUAAAAAUAAAUACACUUCCACUAUUUAUUGAUAAUUGAUACUCUAUUGUUAAAGUAAAAUUAAGCAAGUGUAAGACCUAUAAUGUAGCAAUACUUUUCAUUUCAAAUUGAUAGUCUUACUUUUAAAAAAAUAUUUCUCACUUUUUAGCAACCUUUUAACUUUUUAAAGUCACAAAAAUUAAAGAUUUAUCUAUAUAUCUUAUCGAAAUGAGAAUCAAAUAUACGUAAUUUAUAAAGCUUCAAAUAUGAAAUAACCGGGUCUUUUUUAGUGUUUUUCAUAUAAAGAAAUAUUUUCAAAAAUUUUAAGUUAGGGGAAACUUUCUAACUCUUAGGCAUAUUUUGUGAAAAAUACAGUUUAAAAAAUAUAGAAUCUAAAUCAUUCAAGAAUGUGUGUAACUUUUUUUAAAACUGAAAUUGUUAUGAGAUUUUUGAAUUAUAAUAGAUUUUUCUAUUUAGUUAUUUCUUGAUUAUUUAAAAUUUAAUUUUAUUCUACUAAUAUCAAAAUAAGAUAGUAGAGAUAUUGGUUUGGGUGGGCGUGGGGAAAGGUUUGGGCAAGGGCGUGUGUGGUUUUGCCCCCCUUUUUUUUUUUUUUUCUUUUCUUCUUCUUUUAUACUUUUUAUUUUUUAACAAAAUUAAUAUAAUGAAAAAAUUAUGUUUUGAUUCAAUAAGAACAUAAAAUAAAAAUAAAUUAAAUAAUAUUUCUUCCCAUACAAAUUUUACACAUGUUACAUUAGUAUAAACAUGUUAGGAAUUAUGGACACCUAAAANNNNNNNNNNNNNNNNNNNNNNNNNNNNNNNNNNNNNNNNNNNNNNNNNNNNNNNNNNNNNNNNNNNNNNNNNNNNNNNNNNNNNNNNNNNNNNNNNNNNNNNNNNNNNNNNNNNNNNNNNNNNNNNNNNNNNNNNNNNNNNNNNNNNNNNNNNNNNNNNNNNNNNNNNNNNNNGGGUGGUUGGUCCCCCCCCCCCCCCUUUUUUUCCUUUCUCUUCUUCUUUUAUUCUUUUUGUUUUUAAAAAAAAUUAAUAUAAUUAAAAAAUAUUGUUUUGAUUCAAUAAGAACACAAAAUAAAAAUAAAUUAAAAUAAUAUUUCUUCCCAUACAAGUUUUACACAUGUUAUAUUAGUAUAAACAUGUUAGGAAUUAUGGACACCUAAAAUCUUUUAUUUUUCUUUAUUUUAGUCAUUAAAAUGAAAAGAAAAACCUACUAAUUAAAAUUAAUAUCUUACAUUAUAAAUAUUUGUUAUUAGUUAUUCUCAUCAUUUCAAUUUGUUAAGCCAUAAAUACAUGUAUCAUCGUAAGAGAAUCAAAAUAUAAAAGCAAGAAUAAACGUAGACUGAAAUAAAUCAUGGGUUGUUUAAACCUGAAAUAAAAUAAGGUUUGUUAUAACUAUUUUGCACCAAGUCUAAUGAUAUAAAAUAUCUAAACAUAAAGUUGAUAUGAAAGAUUUGAACAUUCUUCAUAUUAUAACAUCAACGAAUAUUAAUGGUUUAAACAGAUAUAAAAUUUAACAAUUUCAAUAUAUUGCAACCAAUGCUUGUAUAAUUAUGACAUUAAACUAUAUAAAAAGGAUUAAGUGUUACCUCUUGUGAAAAUUAAUUCACAAAAAAAAGACCACAACUGGAACCACAAAUUAGAAAACACGAAUAAAAAUCCCGAACUCAACUUUUCUUUUGUCGCUGAAUGAUUUUUUUUUUGUUAGUAUUGCUGGAAGAAAAGUGUGUUUGGUGUAUGUUUUGGAAUUUGGGUGUGUGAGUUUCUGUAUGUUUUUUUGAUUGUUUUUAUUUUUAUUUUUUAUGUUUCUAUAAUUGUCUUUUGUGUAUGUGUCGUGUGUGUGUAGUGUGAGGGGUAAUGGGAGAAGUGGGGUGAGUUGUGGGUGAGUGGGGUAGUGUAGGAUAGUAUUAGCUUUUUUUAUUUUAUAUUUUUUUAUUAAUAUAAUAUAAUAUAAAAUAAUAUAUUAUAAUAUAAUAUAAUAUAGUAACAGUGGGUCCCAUAUGUUCCCUUAACAGUGUAUCUACUAUUGAUGAAUAAUGUUUCUACUGUUGGUGUCGGGUUAUGACGACUCUACUGUAGAUGCGGCUUCACUGUUUGUCUUUUUCUUUUAAUUUGUGGAGGAAAUCUUCCGCUUUUUUCAAAGUAUCUUCUGAUAUAGUCCGGACGAUCCCUGGGAUGAUAUUCCCCUUGUAUUAUUACUUUUACCUCUGCCCUUGGUAAUCCAAGGAGGGUCCAUCCUGCACACAUAACAUUUUGCUUUAUUCGGAUAUAUCAUAAUAAUCACUAUAAUAAUUAUCACUAUCGAUAUCCUUGGGGCUAUCCUAUUCAUAAUCAUAUAAUAGAGAAAUCUUUUCUAAUAAUAUCAUUAAUAAUUUUACAUAUUAUAAAUUCCUGCAAGUGUCCACUGUGGCAUAUGGUCCUGUAUAUUUUAAUACUCAGCCUUAAUUUGCAAUUAUCUUUAACUGAUGUUAAUAUUCUUGAUGCUUUAACAUUAAAUGUUAAAACGCAUGGUUAUAAUUAUGCAGCUGGAUCUGAAUUAAUAUGUUUAUCAUAUAGAAUUUAUUUUAAAUUUCUAUCUACGUGAUAGGCCCCCUGCUAGGAUAAAAAGGAUAGAUCCUUCCAUACAAUCAUAAAACUAUAUAAAUUUGUAUAUCUUUCGAUUCGGAUUUAUAAUAUAAUAUAAUAUAAUAUAAUGAUAAGAAUAUUAUUUAAAUAUUUUUAAACUAACAAGAAUUAAGUAUCUAAUAAUAAAUUAUAAUUAAGAAAUGCUAGUUUAUUUAUUAAAACUUAAAUAAAAAGAAACAUUUUUUUAUAAAUUUCUUUUCUUUAAAAUUAAUCUACAUUAAAAUGUGACUCUAUUUUUUUGUCAUUUUUCAAAUAUUUUAAAAUAAAUUUACUAAAGUAAGAUACAUCCAUACAUAUUUAAUUUAANNNNNNNNNNNNNNNNNNNNNNNNNNNNNNNNNNNNNNNNNNNNNNNNNNNNNNNNNNNNNNNNNNNNNNNNNNNNNNNNNNNNNNNNNNNNNNNNNNNNNNNNNNNNNNNNNNNNNNNNNNNNNNNNNNNNNNNNNNNNNNNNNNNNNNNNNNNNNNNNNNNNNNNNNNNNNNNNNNNNNNNNNNNNNNNNNNNNNNNNNNNNNNNNNNNNNNNNNNNNNNNNNNNNNNNNNNNNNNNNNNNNNNNNNNNNNNNNNNNNNNNNNNNNNNNNNNNNNNNNNNNNNNNNNNNNNNNNNNNNNNNNNNNNNNNNNNNNNNNNNNNNNNNNNNNNNNNNNNNNNNNNNNNNNNNNNNNNNNNNNNNNNNNNNNNNNNNNNNNNNNNNNNNNNNNNNNNNNNNNNNNNNNNNNNNNNNNNNNNNNNNNNNNNNNNNNNNNNNNNNNNNNNNNNNNNNNNNNNNNNNNNNNNNNNNNNCGGAUUUCAAUGAACAUCUUUCUUAUCCCAUAACUAUAUGCCCACAUAGGUUAUUAGCUAGUGGAUCCACCUAAGUUAAAUGUUACCGCAUAGGUUUUUGUCAUUUUCAAAUAUUUUAAAAUAAAUUUACUAAAGUAAGAUACAUCCAUACAUAUUUAAUUUAAUUUUAAAAAAAUAUUUAAGUACCUAAAAUUAUAUAAAAUUUUAAUUUCGAUCAAAAUUUACAUGUCUACAUCUUUGACAAAAGAUAAAUGUAAUAUUAAUUAUAAAUAAUAAUAAUAAUAAUAAUAAUAAUAAUAAUAAUAAUAAUAAUAAUAAUAAUAAUAAUAAUAAUAAUAAUAAUAAUAAUAAUAAUAAUAAUAAUAAUAAUAAUAAUAAUAAUAAUAAUAAUAAUAAUAAUAAUAAUAAUAAUAAUAAUAAUAAUAAUAAUAAUAAUAAUAAUAAUAAUAAUAAUAAUAAUAAUAAUAAUAAUAAUAAUAAUAAUAAUAAUAAUAAUAAUAAUAAUAAUAAUAAUAAUAAUAAUAAUAAUAAUAAUAAUAAUAAUAAUAAUAAUAAUAAUAAUAAUAAUAAUAAUAAUAAUAAUAAUAAUAAUAAUAAUAAUAAUAAUAAUAAUAAUAAUAAUAAUAAUAAUAAUAAUAAUAAUAAUAAUAAUAAUAAUAAUAAUAAUAAUAAUAAUAAUAAUAAUAAUAAUAAUAAUAAUAAUAAUAAUAAUAAUAAUAAUAAUAAUAAUAAUAAUAAUAAUAAUAAUAAUAAUAAUAAUAAUAAUAAUAAUAAUAAUAAUAAUAAUAAUAAUAAUAAUAAUAAUAAUAAUAAUAAUAAUAAUAAUAAUAAUAAUAAUAAUAAUAAUAAUAAUAAUAAUAAUAAUAAUAAUAAUAAUAAUAAUAAUAAUAAUAAUAAUAAUAAUAAUAAUAAUAAUAAUAAUAAUAAUAAUAAUAAUAAUAAUAAUAAUAAUAAUAAUAAUAAUAAUAAUAAUAAUAAUAAUAAUAAUAAUAAUAAUAAUAAUAAUAAUAAUAAUAAUAAUAAUAAUAAUAAUAAUAAUAAUAAUAAUAAUAAUAAUAAUAAUAAUAAUAAUAAUAAUAAUAAUAAUAAUAAUAAUAAUAAUAAUAAUAAUAAUAAUAAUAAUAAUAAUAAUAAUAAUAAUAAUAAUAAUAAUGAAUGUUCAUAUUAUUAGUGACGAAAAUAAAUGUCACAAUUAAAUCUAAAUUUUUAUAGCUAAAGCUUAUAAUAAUUAACUACAAACUUUUAUUUGUCACUAUUGUAAUAACAUAUUUUUUGAGACAAAAUUAUUUUGUGUCCAAAAAUAAAUUAAUUUUAAGACAAAUAAAAUUUGUUACGAAUUAGAUACAUCAUUUGUGACAAAAUAAUGUGUCACUGAUAACUUUAAAUUCGUGACUGACAGUACUCAAUAAAUGACAUCAAUUCAUUUUUUGGUGGGAAAUUUUAGUGGACAAAACUUUGCCACAAACUUUUAUGUUUCGUAACUAAAAGUAUAUGUCUCAUAUAUUUAAGCACAAAAAGUAAUUUUUGUCACGAAAAGUAAAUAAUUAGCGACGAAUUUUAUGUCGUAGCUAACAAUUUCGUAGCUAUAUAUCAUAUUUGUUGUAGUGAACGUAGACCUAAUUCAAUUUUUUUGAAUUGCUGGAUAGCAAAAACUUGACUUAUAUGCUGCUGAUUUCGGAUGGGGAAGGGCCGCGAAGUUAUAAUUCAUUUCUCUUGACAAUGAUGAUGGUGGAAUUUCGAUGUCUCUUAGUAAAUCUAAGGACUUUGAUGGAGAUUUAGAGAUUGGCUUGUCUUUGUCUAAAACUCGAAUGAAUGCUUUUGCUACUAUAUUCACUCACAGGAUUAGCUUUUUAUACCAAGUCUGAGUGUUCGAGGAUUUGGCAAGGAUUCCUACAUGUAUCUUGGCUUUCUUAUUCAAUUGCUUGAUAUUAGUUCUUUGUACAUCCGAAUAAGCUUUUUUGUUUUGUUUAUGCAUUUUGCACCUUUAAGAGUAUAAUGUUUCUUCUAAAAGAAAAUGUACUACUAUAUAUUAUACUUCUCUUUUGACAACCUUCUUAAGGUUUAAUUUAAUGAUAGGAAAAUACAUAAAGUCUCCUCAAAUUAGUCCUCUUAUUUUAAAGAGACACUUAAACUCUGCAAAAAUCUUAUAAUACAUUCUACUUCAUACCACCUAGCUUGAAGGAGGGCAUUGACGAAUAAAAAGUUAAUUCAACACAAAUGAUGAACGUGGUUGGUAAUAUAAAUUUAUUAUUUGAAUUUUGAAAAUAUAAUACAAAACUAGAAAAGAACAUAGGGUAGCACGUGUUAAAGAUGUAACACAUAUACAGCUUAUUUAUUUACUUUUAAUGUUCACUUAUUGUGGUGAAACCAAAAUGAUCAAAUUCCAUUCCUACUUGCUACGUUUAGGAGUUUUUAUAUAUUUUUUUAAAUAUAAAAAGGUUUAAUUGUUCAAACUUUAAUUAAUUUUAAGAUUCUAAUUAUGAUUGGAGAAAUAACAAAAAAAUAUAAUUUUAUCUAAUGUGAAAUCCUUUUAUAAAUGAUUAAAAAAGGAUGAUCAUUUCAUUUAUGGUAAUUACAUUUGGGUAUGUAAUUACCCAAAUCCUUUUAUACCAUAUAUAUAUAUAGGGAGAAAGAAAUUUUGAAUCCGUUGAACACAAGACUAGAGAUUGACUCAGUGAUUUAGGAUUUCAAAAUUUCCAAAUUCAAACCCUAGACAUUCUUGAAUUCCUUUAAUGAAAAUUCUAAAUUUGGCACUGAUCCGCAAGUAGCAACAACCACUUGAAAACUUUCAUAUUCUUGUCUUGUAUACUAGAAAGUGAUGCCCGUGCGAUGCACGUGGUCUAAGCCCAACAAUUUGAUUCUUAAUGUGUUCAAAUAUGCAAUAUUUAUUAUUAAAAAAAAAUGGACCAAAAGAUAUAUCUUAUCUUAAAUUUUUUGUCAUUACAAAUUGUAUUAGCAUCAAGUUAAUAAUGUAUUAGUACCAUAAAAAAGAUAUAGUUAGUGCAUAGUUAGGUUUGUAUGACAACCAAAAUAACUACACCUGAAUGUUUCAACAAUUGAUAUGCAUUGAUUUCAUAAAAUAAUCACUACAUGGGAAGGAAUCAUCAACAAUUGUAAUUUUGAGAAUUAACCAAAAAAAAAUAAUCUCUGUCAUCAAACGAAAAUUGUAAUUCACACAAUUUUUAGUUGAAAAUUACACUACUAACAAUGCUAAAAAUAUUAAUGAUAGAUCCUAAAAGGUUUCUCUUGAUCUUGCAACGGUUGACAGUAAUCUAACUUUCAUUUUUUCAAGCAGAUUUUUUUUCACAUGGAUGUUGGUGCUUCUUCAGCGGUACAUUUGUACCUUUCAGAAAAAGUAAAAUAAAAUAGGAUUCAGGAGGAAAGUUCCGUUUAAACCCAUAAAAAGGAAGUGACUUUUAUGCAACAGUUAAAUACCACUCUAGCCUUUUCAAUUUUCUUUCUCCAUUUGUAUUUCAAAUUGCUUUCUCCAUUUGUAUUUGGUCCCUGACAUAAGUGUGUUAUUGUUAGAAAGUCAUCCACCUAGAGAGGAAGGCAUAACAAAGAAUUAGGGAUCAUGACAAAUUUCAACCGAACAAAUUAACACAUUUUUAAAUGGGGAACUUACAUAAAUAUACUAUAUUAAGAAAAUAUUUACCAUCUAUAGCAAUAAUAUUUUCUUUUCACUUGAUCACUUUGAAUACAUUUAUAAUACAAAUUUAAUACAUAUUACAGAGAACACUUGUAACGACUCGAACUGUCGUUAAUUAGGAAAUGAAAAAUAUUGAGGAAAUUUUGGUCUCCCAGCCUGCCAGAGUGGGCCUGAUGCCGCUAGGGCGGUGGCGCUCUAGCAAGAUAAGUUGCCGCCAUAGCAGGAUGGGCGAGACAGAUUGUAAAUAACGCAAAGUCUGAUUUUCUCAUUUUUCCAAAAACACCAAAAAGAGGCAGGAUUACCCCAGAAACCCUUUUAAGGCUGCUCUAGGCUUGGGAAGGAAGGAGAAAGAGAUUUCUAGCAUAAGGAGGUUGAUAUAUUGCGGACUUCCGGUCAAGAUUCACCGUCCCGUCGCUCAAAAAUCAGAAUUGAAGCUAUAAUCCCGUGCAACUGCUUAGCACCCAGGUAGGCUGAAUUUUAUUAAUUGAGUAGUAUAAAUUUGUAAUUCACUGCAUAGUAUAUUGGUAAUGGACGGUAGAAUUCAUGUGUAGGCUUUUGUGCACUGAAAGGAGAUGAUUAAACAUAUAUUCGUAGGGUUGUAUCAGACAUAUACCGUAGGAGAAAGUACUACUCCAUGAACUAGGGUAGGUGAAUGCUUGAUGUCAUGUUUGUGUGAUGUAUGUUAGUGUUUGAUUCAUUGUGAUGCAUAUAUGUAUGCGAAUGUUGCACUGUUGAUCACAUUAAAUGCGAAUUAGUAUGAAUGGGUGAUUGUAUGCCUUGAACCAACACUUGAUUGUAUGAUUUUGAGAAUGGCGUCACUAUCUAUAUAAAAUAAUUAAUUAGCAAAAUUCCGGGAAAAAAAGCGACGGACAGCGUCUCUUAGUCUGUCGCUUUUAAAGAAAAAAUUUAUUUUUUUUUAAUUAAAAAGCGACAGACUAAGAGACGCUGUCUGUCGCUUUUUAAAAAUGUUUGACUAGAUAUUUUGACCAAAAAGCGACGGACUGAGAGAUGCCGUCCGUCGCUUUUUUGAAAAACUAAUUAGUAAAAUAAAAUAAAUUAAAACGACGGACAGCGUGGUUAUUGUUUAAUUUAUAAAUAAUUGUAUAAAUUAUAGGAACCACAUAUUAUAAGUACUAAAUAACAUCCUAUCCCUUCUAGUUUUCUAUUUACCAAAAAUCCCUUAAAAAUGAUAUUUGCGGGAUACAUAGCGGCGUGCACGGGAUACAUUAGGUUUGAUACAUUCCACAUAGAGGGAUACAUAGCAUUGUGCACGGGAUACAUGCGAAAUACAUAGCGUUGUGCACGGGAUACAUGCGAAAUACAUAGUGUUGUGUACGUGAUACAUAACGUUUGAUACAUUCCACAUAGCGGGAUAUAUAGCGUUGUGCACGGGAUACAUAGGUAAAUAAAGGAUUUUUGAAAAUUUUGAAAUAAGUAGGGAUAAAUGGAUAUUAAGGUAAGUAAAGGAGUGUAGUUAAGUAAUUUGUCCUUAUUUUUUAAAAAAAAGAGACGGACUAAGAGAUGUAGUCCGUCGCUUUUUGUAAAAUAAUUUUAAAAAUAAUUAUUUUAAUUAAAAAGCGACGGACGGCAUCUCUUAGUCCGUCGCUUUUUUGGAGCGACGCUGUCCGUCGCUUUUUCUUCCGUCGUUUUUUAGCAUUUUUUUAGUAAAUAAUCCAUUUUUUUUUGGGAUGAAGAAUAUCUUCAUAUCAUCUAGCUUGAAGGAGGGAGUUAAAGAAUAAAAAGUUAAUUCAACACAGAAAUAAUGAGCGUGGUUGGUAAUAUAAAUUUAUUAUUUGAAAAUAUAAUACAAAACUAGGAAAGAACAUAGGGUAGCACGUGUUAAAGAUGUAACCAAGAUAGUACUUAUUUAUUUACUUUUAAUGUUCACCUACUCUGGUGAAACCAAAAUGAUCAAAUUCCAUUUCUACUUGCUACAUUUAGGAGUUUUUAUAUUUUUUAAAUAUAAAAAGGUUUAAUUGUUCAAACUUUAAUUAAUUUUAAGAUUCUAAUUACUAUUAGAGAAAUAACAAAAAAGAUAAUUUUAUCUAAUUUGAAAUCCUUUUAUACACGGUAAUUACAUUGUGUAGGUAAGGUAUUAAUGUUUUUUUUUGUAUAUAUGAAGAGAGAUUCUGAAUCUCUUGAACACAAUACUAGAGGUUGACUUAGUGGUUUAGGAGCUCAAAAAUUUACCUUCCAAAUUCAAACCCGAAACUUUUUUGAAUUUCUCUAAUGAAAAUUCUGAAUCUGGCACCGGUGCGCAAGUAACAACAACCACUUGACAACUUUCAUAUUCUUGUCUAGUAUAUUUUGCUAUAUAAGCCACACCUACUUUGUGCAUCAGCCACACAUUCAAAAUCAUGAGUAGAUAUUGAUAUGCCAAACCUACUUUGUGCAUCAGCCACACAUUCAAAGUCAUUAGAUAUUGAUAAGCCAAACCUAGCUACUUUGUGUAUCACUUAACCAAACGAAAAUGACUUCACUACUGAUUGAGCAAUGCCAAGUUGCGCCACCUCCCCACGGUGGCGCAACUGAGCUAACGCUCCCUCUAACUUAUUUUGAUCAUAUAUGGUUCGGUUGUGGCUAUAUACGCCGGAUUUUAUUCUACAAGCUACCAAUUUCCAAACUCGAUUUUGUUCAAACCAUUAUUCCUACUCUUAAACAUUCACUCUCCCUCACUCUCAAACACUACGCACCCUUAGCUGGCAACAUUGCUUGUCCACUAAAUUCGAGUGGUUAUCCUGAGUUGCGUUAUGUGACUGGAGAUUCUGUAUCUGUUACUUUUAUUGAGACUGAUAUGGAUUUCAAUCAUCUCAUUGGUAACCAUCCUCGAAAUGCUAAGGAUUUUUAUCCCUUCAUUCCUCAAUUGGCACAACCUAAGGAUGCACCGGGGGUCAAACUAGUCCCGGUCUAGCCAUUCAAGUGACACUUUUUCCGAAUCUUGGCAUAUCCGUUGGUUUUAGUAACCAUCAUGUCGCUUGUGAUGGAAAUACCAUAGUGAAAUUCAUAAGAACAUAGGGUUUACUCAACAAAUUCGGCGGUGAUGAACAAUGCUUAGAGAAUGAGUUCAUUCCAUUUUAUGAUAGGUCCGUGAUAAAAGACCCUUACGAACAAGGGACGAUUAUAUGGGAUGAAAUGAAGCAAAAUAUGCCGGAGAUAGGUGACAUAAUUGUGACUCCUCCUCUUGAUAGAGUUCGAGGUACAUUUAUUAUAGAACGAGAUAACAUUGUUAAGCUCAAGAAUUUAAUAUUGUCAAGACGACCUAACCUAAGUUAUGUGACAUCUUUUACAAUAACUUGUGCUUAUAUAUGGACUUGCUUGAUAAAGUCAAAGUUCGCGAUUGAGGAAGAGACGAUAGAUGAGGAUGUUAUGGAGAUUUUUGGAUGUGUAGCGGAUUAUAGAUCGCGUCUCAAUCCACCACUUCCUCAAUCUUAUUUCGGUAAUUGCCUAGUCACGAUUGCUUCAGAAGCAAGUCGUGUCGACUUAGUUGGAAAGGAAGGGUUUAUAAUAGCUGUGGAAAUCAUUGGAGAGGCCAUCAAGAAUCAAAUGAAGGAUGAGGAAUUGAUCUUGAAUUGUAGUUGGUAUAGAGAAUUUUGUGUUGUUGACAUGAAACGAACACUUACAAUUGCUGGAUCACCAAAGUUUAAUUUGUAUGAUGUUGAUUUUGGUUGGGGUAGGCCAGAAAAAAUAGAGAUCAUUUCUAUUGAUAAUAGUAGUGGUAUAUCUAUGUCCAUUAGCAAGUACAAAGAUUCAGAUGGAGAUUUAGAGGUUGGCUUGUCUUUGCCUAAAAUUAGAAUGAGUGCUUUUGCUGCUACAUUCGACCAUGGGCUAAGCUUUUUGUAAGAAUGUACCAAGGUUUAUCGGAAAAUUUAUUACUAUAGAAUCGUGGAUUGUAAUUCAAGAAUGCCAAAAUAUAUGGGCAUUAAUUGAUGUAUUAUUGAAUUGGUUUCUUUUGAGUGGGGACGUUUUUUUAUUGAACCCGUAUAUCUUUGAUAGUUGAGGUGAUUAUAUGUCAUGCCGAUCUUCGAUUAAUUGAGAUGCAUCAUUAUCCUUUUUUAUUGAUAUUAUAUUGUCCACAUGCAUUGACAUGAGAUUGAAUAUGAGUAAAGGUCUGGAAAGUAUUUAGUUAGAAAAAUUAUAUUGUCAUUGAAGGUAAAUAUUUUUUUAAUAUAGCAUAUUUAUGUGAUAUACCCAAAAGGAAAUCAAACUAAUUUAAUCCAACAAGAUCCAAUUCAACUAUAAAGAUGAAAAGCAUUUUUCACCUCAACUUGAUUAAAGUCGCCCAAAAAACACCAUACAUCAAUUGAUUUUGCAGAUUACCAGACUCUUCUGCCACUAAUUUUUUUCACUACAACUUGUGCAACUUUAUUGCUGAUACAACAAAUAUAUUAAUGCAUACACAUUUCUAUAUAAUAGAAAAAAAAUAAAAUAGAUGUUUAAGUUCAUAUAUACUUUGGAUCUAAACUAUACAUUUUAUUUAUAUUAAGCAAUAUAUGUGAAACUUGAAUUUAAGCUACCGCUUCAUAGAAAGUUAUUGAAGCUGAGAGCCUAAUUCCAUCUUGGUAACUCUUUACGUGGUUCAGCUCUCAGCAAGACAACUUUCGAUUGUCCACAUUAAAGAAUGACAGAGGCCUCCUUUUGAGAGCUGGAAAAAAAAAAUCGAAGCUUUUCGUCUAAAUAUAUCACAACCUCUUGAACAAACUGGAUAUUAAUAAUGUAAAACACACAUUAAUCAAGAUAAAAUUUUCAACAGGUAAAAUCACAAGUCAUAGCUCCACGAUAUGUAGGUUUCUUUUGGUCUUGCAACUCUUGCAAAAUAUUUAGAUUUAGACGGAGACCACAAUGUGAAUUUUAAUCAUUUUCUGAUCUUUGAACGCAUCAGAAAGUCCAAAGGCAAGCAAUAUGAGAAAAAAGGACAUAAAUUAGCUAUCAGGAUAGUGGCAUUGAAUAUUUAGCUUUCUCAGGUGUUUGCAACUUAUUAAGGGCAUAAUUCUAAUGCGUAUCAAGAUAAAUUUUCUUGGGUCUUUGCAGCUUAUUAAGAGUGCUUCGGUAGUUGAGCAUGAGGUAAGAGUAAGAUCACAAACAUACAACUGAAAGGGCAAUAAUAACCAAUCCAACUGCUAUCCGAUUAAUAACACAAUUUUUGUUACUUUUUCAUUCUUCGAAACUCAAUGUCAUAAUGUGAAAGAUAAAUCAUAUUGUAUCAAAGUAGAUGAAACAAACACGAAAACAUAAGAAAAAAGGUAGUUGGAGAAAACCUUGAACGCGCGUGGUCAAUGCAUUAACGUGAAAAGAGCCAAUAUCUAACUCAUUAACCUACUAAUUGAAUCAAAACUUACUAAUGGUCUUGGUUAUCUAGCUCUCCAUCAAUUCCCUCUUAUAGUACUCUUAUCUCCAGUGUCAAGAUAUGUUUUUUUGAGGUGACGCAUACAUUUUUGAGAAUGAUCGAUGCAUAAUCACAGCUCUCCCUUUGGCUUAAAUUCCAACCUAGAAAUCCUGACUUUGCUGCCAAUGGAGUUCUUAUUGAGCGUCGAAGCUAACUGCAGUUCAAAUACAAAUGCAAUUCCUAAUUAAUAAUGUGCACAAAAGUUAGAAGAAGAUAGCAAUAUCUGAUUAGAAAAGUUAAUCCUUGCUACAACUUCAUUUUAUCAUCAUCAAAUUUUGGCAAUAUGCAGAGGACCAACCACACAUUUCAAAUAGUAAUUAUGUCGCUUAGGUUAGUAUUAGUUUAUAUGCAAGAGUUCAAAAUCUAUUCACAAUUUUCAUCGAUGUUUCCCAACCAACACAGUCAAAGAAUGACAAUGUCAUCCUCUAGAGGUUCCAUUUACUUUUAAUCUAUUGGAUCUUAGUUUUUCUCCCUCUAUCUUCAUGGUUACGUUAAUUUCUCUACCCCUUAGCUUGGUGCAGGUCUAUUUCUAGAUCUGACCAUAUAUAUUGCAAAUCUAACUUAUUUUGCUAUGCUAUUGUUGGUAGCAGAGUUGUCGCUUCAAUCUACUAUAAUUAUGAAAUUACUUCUAAGUUCUAACUACCACACCACUUGUUGUGACACCUCUAUUUGGAUAGAUAUCUAGAUAUGAAGCAAUUGUCAUUUUGUUGCAGGAUGGUAUAGAGUUGAAUACCAGAAUAUUGGAUGCACAGAUGUUGUUAUUAUACCAAAGUUUAAUUUGUAUGAUGUUGAUUUUGGUUGGGGUAGGCCAGAAAAAAUAGAGAUCAUUUCUAUUGAUAAUAGUAGUGGUAUAUCUAUGUCCAUUAGCAAGUACAAAGAUUCAGAUGGAGAUUUAGAGAUUGGCUUGUCUUUGCCUAAAAUUCGAAUGACUGCUUCUGCUGCUAUAUUCGACCAUGGGCUAAGCUUUUUGUAAGAAUGUACCAAGGUCUAUCGGACAAUUUAUUUCUAUAGAAUCGUGGAUUGUAAUUUAAGAAUGCCAAAACAUAUGGGCAUUAAUUGAUGUAUUAUUGAUUUGGUUUCUUUUGUGAGGGGAUGUUUCUUUAUCGAACCCGUAUAUCUCUGAUAGUUGAGGUGAUUAUAUGUCAUAUCGAUAUUAGGUCGCUAUAAUGUAGGUGACUUUUUUGUAGUUACCUCAUGAGGUCGCCGAACAGAGACCUCACGAGGUCACCAAUAAAUUUUCCGAUUUUUUAAAAAAAGAUACCUCAUUAGGUUGCAAUUUCAUAAUUUACUUUUGUUUUAUUUUUAAUAAUGGUGGCCUCAUGAGGUCACUAUUAUAUUAUUUAUUUUUAUUUUAUAUUUAAAAAAAGAGACCUCGUGAGGUCCAUACAAUUUAUUAAAUUUAUUUAAAUUUCUGAAUAGAGACCUUAUGAGGUUGCUUUAUUUAAAACCAAAAAUAAAAAUAAAAAGCGACCUUAGUAAAGAGACCUCACGAGGCCGCUUUAUCUCAUAGCCUAAAAAAUAAAAUUGCCAAAAAGAGACCUCGUGAAGUCUCUUUACUGCAUUUCUAAAAAAUAAACUAAAGAAAAGAGACUUCAUGAGGUCUCUUUACUGCAUUUCUAAAAACUAAAAUGCAGAAAAGAGACCUCAUGAGGUCUCUUUUAUGAAAUUUCUAGAAAAUAAAAUGCAAAAAUUUACUGCAUUUCUAAAAAAUAAAAUGCAGAAAAGAGACCUAAUGAGGUCUCUUUUAUGAAAUCUCUGGAAAAUAAAAUGCAAAAAAGAGACCUCAUGAGGUCUCUUUUCUUAGAAAAAAAACUAGCUGCUUGUAACUGUUUUUGCAGCUGCUCAUCAUCUGUCAUAUUAAUUCAAUACCUUUCUAAUUAGCUAAAUCAAGCUCAAAGAGCUUCCAACAAUCAACUGAUACAAUACAUUUAAUAAAUAUUCUCUUAUCAACUCAAUAUGCAACUCACCUUCAAUGUAAUUUGAAAUUGAACGAAAAAUCAUAGAAUCCAUAAGUUAUAUAAUAGGAUUUCAAUGUUAUCAUGCAUUCACAAAACAAAUAAGUCCCAUAAAAAAGUCAUAAAGUAAAGAACUUAGAUUAUCUAUUACAACUCUAAACUUCACUAAUGUGGGAGUGUGUUUGCCACAUGAUACUCAUCUUCUUCAUCACUACUAGACUCAUAUGUCAUAUUUCUUUGUUGACCAUACACUGGAUAUCGAGUAGGUUGAGAUUGAGAGGGUCGAGGAGGGAAAGUGACAUCAUUGGAACAAGGGGGAAUCCCUCCUGAAGCAAGUAAUGCAUCGAAUUGAGCCUUAAGAUCCGCAUACUCUAAGUCCCUCCGCCUUUUCCUAGCCCGCGAGUCUUCGACUUGGCUAGAUAGCUUAGCUAUCUUUUGCUCCAUAGCCAAAUUUUUCUUCAUCGAUUCAUCAUCAUAGGAACUACUUAGGCCUUCAAACUUAGAAUGAUAUUCACGAAAGGUUUGUUGCGGAAUGCCAUAGGCAUACCCAUAUCUACUCGGCCCAUCAAUCAAGUCUAGCCACACUCUCUCAGUCUGUUCUUGAGUAAGUGGCAUACCUCGAUUUUCUUCUGGUUGAGUUUGUCGUAAAUCCUCUAAAACUUGAAGAUAUCGAUUCUAAAUUGAAUAUUGGUAUUAAUAUUAGAAUAUAAAUUUAGAAAAUAAGUAAUUAUUAUUUUGAAUUAGAGGCUUACAUAGGUCAUUUCAGCUCGCGGCUCAACCCACACGUCUGAUUAGGCAAGUACUGAUGUGGUAAUAACAUAGUUGUAUUCACGUUCUAUCAGACAUUGUAUAAGUCAGUGAUUACAAUGACAAGACUUCAGAUUUUGAACUUACCAUUUGUUGAGUUAUUUGAUUUAAACAAAUAGAAUACAAGGACAAAAAACUAAUACAAGGGCACAUGCUUCUAAUAACUUGUUCUUACCUCUGGCCAUCAACUGAAUUCUUAGAGCAGUUCAAGACGCUGGUUAGAGAUAGAAUUCUUAGAGUAAUUCAAGACACUGGUUAGAGAUAGGUAAUCAGAAUACGCACUUGCAGAUUUCAUCCAGUCAAUACUCUCUAGUAACUUUUCUAGAAAAAAUUCUCUCUAACUCAAAGUAUUAGUUUGAUUCUCACCCAGAUAUGGGAUCAGUUCUGCCGUCUGUGCUAAAUUGACCAUUUUUUUGGUCAUAAAUUGAUCAAAUUACCUCAAACGCAUCCUGAACCAUGUCAUGCAUUCUAUAAUUUUCUACAUUAGAAUUCACUGCGCUACUACUUUCACUAGGAACAUAAUGUUGAAAUACAUCAAAACUAUUAUCAAUUUCUCCAUGACUAGUCCACACUGUGUAUUCUUUUUUAAAUCCAUUUUGAUAGAGAUGAAGCUCAACAAUAUCUGGUUUUUCAUAAUUCAAACAUUGACAUUUAUUACAAGGACACUUAAUCACACCAUUACGUUGAAAAGGUUCUAGUGUCUUUGUAUACUCCACAAAACGAGUGACACCUUCUACAAAUUCAGGUCUUAGCCCCAUUCGACCAAAAUUAGUCAUAUUAUACAUCCAACUAUGAUUCAUCUACAUAAAUAUCACAAAAUUUUGAAUUUCUUAAACACUAACUCAUGUAAUAAUUUACUGAAAAUCAAAUUGUAACAAUCCUAGUAGGGACUGCUUAACGAGGCAUUGUGCAAAUGAAUAAAUGUAUCUUUGGUGACUACAAAAGCAUACUUCUCUCAACAAUUUGUCCCAAAUAAUGUCCACUUCCCUAAAUAAAUGUAAAUAGAAUACAUCAUUAAAAAAAAAUAGUAGUACGGUGGCACUAUUACAGAAGGGUCAAGGACCUUUCUGGGCACAAUGGUUUCUUAACUUUCCUCUCCUCAUUAAGUCUAUAGUAUAUAUAUAACUUUCCUCUUCUCAUUACUACAACCAAUAAAAUAAUAGAUAGAUCCAUAUGUCAUCUUAGUUUCUCAUGAACAAAGAACAAGUCAUGUUAAUUGUCAAUUAUCAGCAAAAACAUCUAAUCUAUACAUUUUUCAAUUUAAAAACAACAAAAAUACAUACAACGACAUAAACCAAAAUGAUAUUAGUUUUAGGUUUGCAUCAGAACUCACAACAUGAUUAUUUUAGAUUGAGAUAACGUAUAAUAAUAUCAAAAUACAAUACAAAUCUUCAUAACAAAUUUUAUUUCUUUAUUCUUAAAUAUUACUACCCAUGUAUCUUCAGGCCUUAAUCCGGCUCGACCAAAAUUAUACCUAUUAUACAUCAAACUACGAUGCAUCUACACACAAAAUUUGAAUUUUUUAAAUACGAAAUUAAGUCAUCUUCCCAGUUAGUAGUAUUAAAGGGAUUCUUGCAUUUGAGGCAGCAGCUUCAGCUAGCAUAAUGAUGAUGAUGCAGCCAAUAGGCACUAUUAAGGGUCAAUGGUUUCUUAACUUUUCUCUCCUCAUUAUUCCACGAUGGUUUAUAUCUAUAGACUAUAGUAUGCAUAUAUAUAUAACUUUCGUCUCCUCAGUUAAAAAACAACUAUACUUGAACUUUCAGGUGUUCUUCAAAGGUAAGUUACUAUACUUGUUGGGCCAAGAGAAGCCCAUUAUUUAUUCGUUUGUAUUAUAUUUGCUAUGACACUAUGUAAAGUGUUUUUACUACGCAUUCUGGUUAGCUGGUAGGUUUUGAUUAGGCCUUUUUAAAGGUGGAACUCUGCCGAAAUUUUUGAGAGAUAUUAAAGUUAAGUUCAUGAUACUCAAAUUUCAUUCGAGGACAAAAGUUAUGUUUUCAUAACAGGUUUUAUUUAUUUAUUCUUAGAUAUUACUACUCAUGUAUCUUCUUCUAAAUUAUAGUAUGAUACAAAACUUACUAGCAUUCAUGUUAAUCAACAUGAGAAGUCAAAACAGGACAUUAAGAUAGAACAAGACUAAAAUCCAAAGAUAUUUAUAUGUUCAUGAAGUGAAAAGAAAAUCACAAAUUCUACUUAAUGCUUGCAGUAAAUUGAAAGAGAGAGUUUGCAUUGAUGGAUGCUUGCAAUAAAUAAACAAUAUAGUUACAAUUUGGUUUAAAGAUUGAAAGAUUCACCUUUAUUUGCAGAGAAAGAAAUUGACACCGAGAAUUUGAAUCGACGACGGAAGCUUUGGCUUCAAACUGAGUGAGUUUCGAAGGUGAAAACUAAAACUUCAAAUUGAUGAAAGGCUCGACGAGGAGGCUACACAUCUGUAAAGCUAUGGGGAAGAGACAAGUUAGGGCUUUUUUUAGCUUUUAGGUGAAGAGCGGGAAAGGAGAUGAACUAAAUUAAAAAUGCCUCUUAUUUUAAUUUAAUAAAACUAAGUGAGGUCUCUUAUUUUAAAAUAUUAUUUAACAAAUUUGACUAAUAAAUUGAGACCUCACGAGGUAUCUAAAACUAAAUUAAUAUUUUUUUAUUUUAACAAAUAGCGACCUCGUGAGGUUGCAUAUUUUAUACAAAAACAUACUAUAAAAUAAAAAAAAUUAAAAUAAGUCACUUAUAUAAUUAAUUAGGCAGAUUUUUUUAUAAAAUUGACCUCACGAGGUCUCCCCUAUUAAAAAUAAAUUUAAAAAAAGUUAUUGAUGCAAAUAGCGACCUCAUGAGGUCUCUUUUUAGCGACCUAUUUUUGAGGUCUCUUAUUUUAGGUCUCCUUUUGCAAUAUUUUUAGUAGUGAGUGUUGAGUUUUAUUUGCCCUGAAUUUCUUACCAUAAAUAUGUUUUUCUUUUAGAAAAAAGGUUUAAUUUGGAUUGGCUAGUCCUUUUCUUGUAGGAAAUUCAGGCCAAAUGGGAGAUUUGUUGGGUAUUAAUUGCCCUGAAUUUCUUACUAUAAAUAGGUUUUCCUUUUAGAAUAAAGUUUGGGAUUGGCUAGUCCUUUUCUUGUAGGAAAAUGUUUAGGACUCUAUAAAUAUAGACUUGUUCCUUCUAACUUAAUCAACAUUCAUAAUGUAGUCCUAGGGGCUUUGAGAGUUUUCGUUAGGGGGAGAAUUUGUGGGACACAAGUUUGAUACGUUAUCAUUUGUGUGAACCUCUCAUGUAUUCCGAGUGAAUUGGUUGAGGUUAACUCUCUCUAUAUUUUGUACUCUCAUAUUUAUAUAGUGGAUUGCUCAUCUCCUUUGUGGACGUAGGUCGAUUGAUCGAACCACGUUAAAUCUUUGUGUCUUUUGGUAUAUUUCUCAUUUGUCUUCUUACUCAUGAUAUUUCGAGAUUUGUUUUGCUAGCUUCCGCAUCACACCUAAUUAUUUCGGUCCUAACACAGAGAUCGUCCGUGUUGAGAUUGAGUUAUGAUUGUAAGUUGGGCACGUAAAGAUCGUCCAUGUGUGGGAUUGUUUGAUUUUAUGAUAGUGCGUUGAGAUCGUCCCACAGACACCUGGAGAUCGAACCUGUUGAUAUAUCUCUCGAGUCCACAUGGGUCACGUACUCUCAAUGUAUUUUCGAGAAGUAUCGUGUAUAUACGGUUGAGAGAGUACCUUUUUUUUUAAAAAAAGUACUCUCUCAACCGUAUAUCAUUUCAUGAUGUUGCAUUAUAUUGCAUCACAUACAUCUUUCAUUCUUGUUUGAUUAUAUGCUUUAUUGUUAUUUGGACAUUACAUGAGAUUUGUUAAUCCCUAUUUGAUGAACUUAUCUGAUAAGUAUAAGGUAGAUUGUAGACUUAUAAAAUUAAAAGAUGAUUUUCUCAUAUACUCCUAUCACUACUUUUUCAUUGUCGGUCUAGGAUAGUGUCACGCACCGAGUCUACACUCUGGAUGAAACUGGCACUUGAGAACCAUUGCUGACCCCAAGCGAACCCUUGGCCUGGCUAGACUCUCAGCGGAAGACUUACUCAACAGAAGAUGCACUUAAAUACAAUCUUAAAUAAACUGUUUGAAUAGAUAAAUUGAGAAUGUUUAGAAAAUAGCAUUCAACUUAGCCAAAAUGGCAACUCAAGUCUUUAAAAUCAAACAACUGAAAUAGCAAGACUAAAGAACUCAUAUCUAACCGUAUAUGAAGCCUCUAGAUACUAAGAGGGAUGUCGGGACAAGACCCCCAAUCAUCUUAACAACUGAAAUAACCAAAAGCAAUAAAGUAAAAUAUAACCAAAGGGAUCCUCUAUAAAGCAAACAGGCUCACCAACUGACUCUGAGCGCUCGAAUGGAUCACCGAGGCACUGGAUGCUAAUCCUAGUUACCUGUAUCUGCAUCAUAAAACGAUGCAAACAAAAAGGCAUCAGUACAUUGAAUGUACGAGCAUGCGAGGGGAAAACUAAAUAUGACAUAAGCUUGAAAGGAAUCUGAAAAGAACACUUACCUUAGCUUUACUCAACUCAUGGAUACUCAACUCAAAUGCAAAGUAAAACAAUAAUAAAGGUGCAGUUUAUACAAAGCAUUUAGAACAGUAGGUGACAACUCAAUGUGUUAAAGAAAUACAAUAACAACUCAGUUUACAUAUAAAGUAAUAUAAUAUUGUGGGAGUUUCUCUAACCGACAAUCAUUAAUAUGAUCUAAAGUGAUGAUUCAACGUCUCGCCCACGAUGUCAGAACUGUCAUAUACCUUGUUGUGAUAUAGAACACCUCAACUAAGUGGACCCACUAGUCUAUGCUAAAAAGCACUAAGGAAUCAUCUAAAAAGUAUGAUCUUUUCUUACCCACGAUGGCUACAUGGUUUAUGGAGACUUGAGUUAUUAUGAACUCGUCCCCAUAUCGGUUCUCAAUACUACUCCCAAAAUAUACUCAGCUCAUAUGUUUUAAAAAUAAAAACUCUUUCUGUGAUUUGAGAUAAUUACUCAAAAAUUAGCAUAAAGUCUCUCUUGGAAAUCAGUGUUUCCUUUCUUAUUUAAAUGUGAAAACAUUUCAACUCUUAGGAAUACUUAGUUCCCGUAUAAUAUUUUGAAGAAAAUGAACUUUACUCUUACUCUUUACUCAACUCAAACUCAAGUCUUAAAAUAAAGUUAAAGUAUUUGUAAAAGACUUUUGGAAAACUCUAUGAACUUCUCUUUGACUUGACUCUUAACUUUCCUUGAAUUGAAUUAUGGAUUCAAGGCUCAUGAUCUCAUGUUUAUGGAUGAUUUCAUGAUGUUUAGACGUACCUUAGAGUGUAGAAAUCAACUAGGAAACAUAUGUACGUUGCUAGGGAACUCAAACGAAAAGAAGUGGGAAAUGAUAGAAGACCUGGUGUCCCUGGUGCUCUGAGUGGCGCGCUAGGAGCAAAGCCUCAGAAACUGGCUUGGGGCGCUCUGGCUGGCAUGGCACCCCAUAGGCCAAACUUCAGUGAACUUUGUGGGGCACUCUGAGUGGCGCGGCGCCCCACCCCUUUUCCCAAAUUUUUGACGAAUUCUCUUAGCCGUUCUUCAACUCUAAACCCUCUAAAUUCAAUUGGGUCUUUUCCCAAAUACUUAGAUUCGACUAUAUCACCAAAAUAUGUAAGAAUAUACUCAAAAUCACACCUAAUAUCAUGAAUCAAACUCAAGAAACUUCUCAACAACUUCAACAAUGUCAAGAAAGCACAAGAACUUAAACAAAUUUCAUCAAGAACUCAUAAUCUUUUCUUUCAAGAACAUAAUUACGCUGAAUUGAAUCAUGAUUGGCGCGUGGGUGAACUAACCCAACGCUAUGAGAUCUCACAUACCUCGUAGGAUUGAAUCCUUGGCGAAAUCCACGACCAAAAUCGCUAGAACUUGACGAACCUUGAGCUUUCUUUCUCCUCUCCCCUCUUGAGUUCUUUCUCCUAAAACCCUAGCGUAGAUUUCCAAUUGGGUAAAAUACCCUUCCAAAAUCUGGUUUUGACUUUCCUUAUUUAGACAACCCAACUUUGAAUGGUCAUACCUCCCUCAUACGAACUCGAAAUCAAGCAAACUCGGCGGCGUUGGAAAUAUAAUUCAAAGAUCUUUCCGAAGGUAUCUUGUAGCACAUCUAACUCAUCCUGAGCUAGGAGUUAUGGUCGUUUGAAGUUGACCCAAAACUCAAACUUAACAUAACUUAACCCAUUUUCCAGAUUUUUCAUUCUUUCCAAAAACGACUCUUUCUAAUUCUAGCUCUUUCUAGUUCUUUCAAAUAACGGGGUGUUAUAGAUACAUACUAGAUACACGUGGUUUCAUACUCAUACUACACUCGUGGUCUUUCGAGGUUUGUUUUGCUAGCUUCCACAUGACACCUAAUUAAUUCCAGUCUUAGCAAAAAGUUCCCAAAUACUUUUUUUUUUUAAUAUUUGAGAAUUUAAAAUGUUUAUCAAAAAAUAAUAAAUUGUAUGGUCAAAUCCAUUAUGGUACUGAUAUUCCAACUAUCUUAUAAGUACUGUUUGUACUGAUAUUCCAAAACUUUAUUUUGUUCGUAAGUACUUCAUUUUACUUUAUUUAUCUAAUUUUAACUUUAGUAUAGAGUUUUGUUUUAAUGAUCUUAAGCAUACCACAUAAAUCUUUUUUAAAAUAAAUAAACCAAUUAUAUAAUUAAGUAAUAUAGGCCUUUUAAUGAAAAUAAAUAAAUAUCAUCAUUUAUAAAACGACAAAAUUAUGUAUAUGCAUAAUUAUUUUUUUCUCCCUUUAUAUAUAGCUGCUUUUAACUGCUCAAGUCCCACGUUAUCUUUAUUUUUCUGCAAAUCCCACAAAUUCAUUCACGUUAACUUUUAUUUACACUAUAUAAUAUAAAUUAAUCAUAAUUGAGAUGGAGUACCUUCUUUUCGUUAAGUCCUCACAAGUUUUAUACCAAAUCAAUUAUUGGUCACACAAAGAUUUUCUUUGAUUCAUUCACAUAUUGUGAAUAACGAGUAGGUACAUUUAUUUAUUUCUUUAUUUCAUAUAUAUAAUUGUUGAGUUGAGAUACUAAAGUUAGCUCCUUAAAUUAUAGAGUUGUAAUUUGAAAUCGCUCGUUGAAGUAAAUGGAGAUUGGUUGUUGAAAUCCUACACACUAAAGUCGUUUGGUUGGGAAUAACAAGUUAUCCCAGGAUUAGUUAUUCUGGGAUUAGCUAUCCUGGAUAACUUGUCCCACCAUGUAUAUGAGAUAACGUAUCCCAUUACUAUGGUAUAAAUAAUGCGAUAUGUUAUCCCAAACAUGGCAAUCAAACAAGAGAGAGAUACCCCUCGUUCUGAAAAUAUAUCCCUCAACUCGGUCAUUUAGAGCUGACAUAUCCCUCGUUCUGAAAGUACUGGCUCAUAUAUACCUCUAUUGUUAAAUAAAUGACUCACAUAUAUCCUUUUCGUCUCUGCGAAAGAACCCUUUUGUUUUAUUGGUGCAACUGCUAUUUAGUGAGAAAACUCCCGGAAGCGAAAAAAAUAAUUUUUAAUUUUUUUAUUAAAAAAACAAUUCAUGUAGGGAUAUAUUUUAUCCUUCUCACAUUUUUUUUUAUACUUUUUUAAUUCAACGACUAAUUUGAAUUUAUUAUUUUGAUGCUCAAAUUUGUUCUUUUCACUUAUUUUCUUAUAAACUUUAUUAUAAAUAUCCUAAAAAAAAUACAGAUAUAAAAACUAAAUUACAAUAGCAAAAAAAGUGGUUUUAAUUUUUUUUUCUCUUUUUUUUUGUUCACUUUUUUUUUUUAAUUUCUCUUAUUUUACACUAAAGAAUGAAAGAAAAAUUGAAAUAAGAAUAAAACUCUAAUAAUAAUAAUAAUAAUAAUAAUAAUAAUAAUAAUAAUAAUAAUAAUAAUAAUAAUAAUAAUAAUAAUAAUAAUAAUAAUAAUAAUAAUAAUAAUAAUAAUAAUAAUAAUAAUAAUAAUAAUAAUAAUAAUAAUAAUAAUAAUAAUAAUAAUAAUAAUAAUAAUAAUCAAAGAAGUCAAAAAAUAAUUUAUGUUGAAAAGAUCAAAUACAUAAAAAAAAUUUAAAAUAUUAAAAAUCAAAAAAUUAAUUUAAAAUUAUUUUUAUCACUUUUAUAACAGUAGGGCUAUAUGUGAGCCACUUUCGUAAUGGUGAGGGGUAUAUGUGUGUCAAUUUUGUAACAGUAGGGGCAUAUAUGAACCACUUUUGUAACGAGUGACAUAUCAACUCUAAAUGACAUAGUUAAUGAGAUAUAUCAAGACAUUUUCCCGUGAAUAAAUAAGAAACUCGAUUACAUUUUGUGAGGUCUUAUUUCGGGAAAUCCUUUGUAUAGGCUCUUUGUGAUUUUGUAUUGCAGCUUUGUAAGUUGAAAUGAGUUGCAUUAUUAUUUGUAACCAAUUACUAGUUACCGACAGCCAUACACCUAUCUAAUUUUGAUUUGAUAAGAAAUUAAAGAAAUUAUAAGACUUUUAAUUCUUAUAGUAUUAAACAUGUACAUUUUUGAAAAAUUAAAAAAAACACAAUUUUAUAAUUUUAUUUUAUUUUGUAAAUAUAGGCAUUUUAAGGAUAAAAAGAAGUAAAUACACAUUAUUUAUUAGACGACAUAUAUAUGCAUUAUUUUUAUAAGGGAAAAGUCUCAAAUAUGUCGUCAAACUCUGAAAAAGGCUCAGCUAUGACAUAUGUUAAAAGUUUGGCUCAUCUAUGCCAUUUUCGUUUGAGAAAAAACUCAUCAUUCAUGACAUUAUUUGUUAACUGAAAUGACAUAGAUGAGACAAACUUUUACUGAAUGACAUAAAUGAGACUUUUCUCAAAGUUCGAUGGCAUUUUGAACUUUAAUUUUCACUUUUAAAAAAUUGAUUCAAGUAAUGAUGUGGCUGAAUCAUAAUUGACCACGUUUGAAAAAUGAUUUUGCAAGAUCGAAAAUAUUUUAAGUUAACAAAUAAUGGUAUGAAUGAGUCUUUUCUCAAACUAAAAUGUCAUAAAUAAGCCAAACUUUUAACAUAUAGCAUAAAUAAUUCUUUUCUAUGACAUAUUUAAUUAUUUUCCUUUUUUAUUAUAAAAACAUAUUUACUCUGAAUCGCAAAGUUGACGGCUAUAUAAGCCAAACAUAUUGAUCUCUUUUGUUAACCAAAGAGAAAUAUGGCUUCGAUUAUUGAGCAAUGCCAAGUUGCACCACCUACAUGUGCCACAGAUAAGCUAACACUCCCUUUAACUUGCUUUGAUACUUUGUGGAUAUUACAUAACCAUCAUAUACCAAGGAUUCUAUUUUAUAAACUCCACAAUAUUGACAAAAAUAGUUUCAUCCAAAACAUUAUUCCUACUCUCAAACAUUCACUCUCACUCACUCUCAAACACUAUCUACCACUAGCUGGCAACCUUGUUUGUCCAUGGAAUUCUACCGGUUAUCCUGAACUACGUUAUGUAAAAGGAGAUUCUGUAUCUGUUACUUUUUCUGAAAGUACUGACAUGGAUUUCGAUUAUCUUGUUAGUAAUGAUCAUACACAUAAUGCUAAGGAUUUUCAUCCCUUUGUUCCUAAAAUCGCGGAACCUAAAGAUGCAUCCGGGGUCCAAUUUGCACCGGUUUUAGCUAUUCAAGUGACACUUUUUCCGAAUCAUGGCAUUUCUAUUUCUUUCUUAAGCCAUCAUGUUGUUGGUGACGAAUCUACCAUAGUAGGGUUCAUAAAGUCAUGGGCAUUGCUCAACAAAAAUAACGAAAAUGAUGAGUUCAUUAUUAUUCCGUUUUAUGAUCGGUCUAUUGUCAAAGACCCUUAUGGACUAGGAGAUUGUAUAUGGGAAGAAACGAAGAAACAUAAGACAAAGAUGAGUUACAUAAUUGUGACUCCUCCUCCUCCUCCUGAUAAUAAUAAUAAUAUAGUUCGAGGUACGUUUACUAUAAGACGAGAUCACAUUGACAAACUCAAGAAUUUAAUAUUAUCAAAACGACCUAGCCUGACUCAUGUAACAUCAUACACUGUAACAGGUGGUUAUGUAUGGAGUUGUUUGGUAAAAUCAGAGGUCGCGACGGAAAUAAUAGAUGAGAAUGUAAUGGAAUACUUUGGAUGUGCGGUAAAUUACAGAGCGCGAUUUGAUCCACCACUUCCUUCAUCUUAUUUUGGGAAUUGUAUCAUUUGGUACAUUGCAAGUACAAAGCAUGUUGAUUUAGUAGGAAAUAAUGAAGGAUUUAUAAUUGCAACGGAAUCGAUUGCAGAAAUUAUUUAUAAAAGGAACAAGGAUGAGGAAUACGUGUUGAAUGGUGAUUGGUUGAAAGAAGUUGGUGCGGCGUCAAAUAAGGGUCGAUAUCUUGCGAUUGCUGGAUCGCCAAAAUAUGACUUAUAUGAAGCUGAUUUUGGUUGGGGAAAGCCAAAAAAAUGGCACUUUAUUUUUUUCGGGAGUGGUUUAUUGAUGUCUCUUAGUAAGUCUAAGGACUCUGAUGGAGAUUUGGAAAUUGGUUUGUAUUUGCCCAAAACUCGAAUGAAUGCUUUUGCUGCUAUAUUUACUGAUGGACUCAGCGUCCUGUAGCCCGUUUUCAUUUCAUGAAUGUCCUGAUGGGCUAAAGUAGAGUUCUGCUGCUUUUCUAGAGAUAUAUGAUGAUCAAAAUCAUUUCUAUUACUUCUUGUUUGACUUUGUAUUUGUGUUUUUCUUUGAAUAAAUUUCAAAUUAUAAGUUGAUUUCGUCUAAGUGAGCUUUGUUACUAUAAAUUGAUGUGUAUUUUUAUAAAAAACCAUACAAGUUUGAGCAUGGCUCUUAUAAUUGACAUGAUACCCCAUAAUAUGUGGUUAUGUAUGGACUUGUUUGAUAAAAUUAUGACUUCGAUUAUUGAGUAAUGUCUCCUAAAAUUAGCAUUUCUUUUGUUUUUCUCUCUCGCGCAUAUUAUUUCUCCAAUUCUCCUUUUAUGUAGUUUAUUUUCCUGAUUGUUUUGAUUGUUCAUAAGAUUCAUUUAUAAUAAAUCAAAUAGAGAUGAAUAUAAGAAUACUUACACAGAUUUAAAUUUAAAUAACUUUGUAUGUAAAAAUAGUUCAAUUAAGAUGCGUGCUUUUAACCUCAUAAAAAAUCAACUGUAUUAUUUUUAGGAUAAACAUAAAUAGUUAUUUAAAAUUUUAGCACUAUUUUCAUGUAACCAAAAACCAAAGAGACUAUUUUUCCGAAUUAUGGCUUAUCUAUUUAUAACUAGAUAUAGGACCCCGUGCCAGCACGGGGCCCAAUAUAUAUAUAUAUAUAUAUAUAUAUAUUUUUUAAUUUAUGUUAUAUUAUGAAAUUUGAUAAGUUAUUGAAAAUUUGAUAUGAUUUUAAAAAUAUUUUAAAUUGUUAGCUAUUGUGAUUUGUAGUACUUCUUUUUAACAUAAUUUUGAAAAUAAUAUUUAUUACUCUAUUUGUUCUAAUUUAUGUGGCAGAUGCAGAAUUUCAAAUAUUAACCCUUUUUUAUAUGUCUCUUUAAUNNNNNNNNNNNNNNNNNNNNNNNNNNNNNNNNNNNNNNNNNNNNNNNNNNNNNNNNNNNNNNNNNNNNNNNNNNNNNNNNNNNNNNNNNNNNNNNNNNNNNNNNNNNNNNNNNNNNNNNNNNNNNNNNNNNNNNNNNNNNNNNNNNNNNNNNNNNNNNNNNNNNNNNNNNNNNNNNNNNNNNNNNNNNNNNNNNNNNNNNNNNNNNNNNNNNNNNNNNNNNNNNNNNNNNNNNNNNNNNNNNNNNNNNNNNNNNNNNNNNNNNNNNNNNNNNNNNNNNNNNNNNNNNNNNNNNNNNNNNNNNNNNNNNNNNNNNNNNNNNNNNNNNNNNNNNNNNNNNNNNNNNNNNNNNNNNNNNNNNNNNNNNNNNNNNNNNNNNNNNNNNNNNNNNNNNNNNNNNNNNNNNNNNNNNNCUUUUUUUUUACAUAAUUUUGAAAAUAAUAUUUAUUACUCUAUUUGUUCUAAUUUAUGUGGCAGAUGCAGAAUUUCAAAUAUUAACCCUUUUUUAUAUGUCUCUUUAAUAUAUUAAGUUGUUAAUUAUUGUAUUUUAUAGUACAUUUUGAACCUAAUUUUUUAAUAAUAUAUGUUAUUUGCCAUGUCCCAAUUUAUGUGGCAUUAAUUGAUAGAUUUGUUGGAGUCGAGAGAUUUAUUUUGUUAAUUAUUGUAAUUUAUUGUUUCUUUUUCGUCAAUUUCAAACAAUAUAUGUUUAUUAUAUAAUCUAUUUUAUGUGGUACCAAUAGAAUUUAGAGAGUCAAUUAAAUUUUGUAUAUAAGUUUUAAAUAAUUAAGCUGUUAAUUAUUGUAAUGUAUAGUAUUACUUAUAUUAUUUUUAAAUAUAUUUAAAUAUUAUAUGUUAGGUUUUUUAUCCUAAUUUAUAUGGCAUUGAUAGAAUUUAAAGUGUCAAAUAAUUGUUAAUUAUUGUAAUAGAUAAUAUGGAGUAUUUAAGUCAUUUAUAGUAUAGUAAUUAAUAUAUAAUAUGUAGUAUUUAAGUGGAAGGUGGUGGGGCCCACUUAUAUAUUUUAGAAAUAUAUUGGAUAUCAGUAGUGAUUUAUAGUAUAGUAAUUAAUAUAUAAUAUGUAGUAUUGAAGUGGAAGGUGGUGGGGCCCACUUAUAUAUUUAUAAAUAUAUUGGACAUUAGUAGUGAUCUUAUUGGAACAUUGGUAGUCAUUCCUAGACUCUUCUAUAAUAUAGUAAUAAAUCAAAUAUAGAUAAAUAUAUUAUUACUAACUCAAAUUUAAAUUUAAAUAACUAUGUAUUUAAAAAUAGUUCAAUUAAGAUGCGUGCUCUUAACCUUAUAAAAAAUCAAUUGUAUUACUUUUAGGAUAAACAUAAAUAGUUAUUUAAACUUUUGGUACUAUUUUCAUGUAACCAAAAAAUAAAGACUCUUUUUCCGAAUUAUGGCAUAUCUAUUUGUUACACUAUUUUCAUGUAACAAAUACACACAUUCGUCCUAUGUGGCGUUCUACAUGACAAUUUCGUUCUAUAGCAUUCAACGUGUAUUAUGCCACAUAAAAUGUGUGUCUACUUAUUCAAUUUCAUACAAAUUUAAGUGAUUACUUGUGUGCACCCAAAAUUAUAGGGCGUAGAUAUCACCUAAAGCCAAAUUAAAGGAUAUAUUUACGUAUUAUGCUUUUUUAUAAAAUAUAAAAUUUGAAGUAAUUUUAAACUUUUUAAAAUUUCCAAAUAAUAUUUUUUUCUGGUAUGUGAGAAUUUGAAUUAUUUGCCAAAAGUAAUUGUCAAAUAAGGACAAAUUGUAUGGUCGAAUAUCACAAGUUCCGCAUGUAUCUUUGUUUUUCUGCAGGUAGUGCUUUGUUAAUGAUAUAUUCCCAGUAUCUUAUAAAUGCUGAUUUUCUUACUAGAGCAGCUUUACAUUAAUUCUUUAUUAUUAUUAGGGACAAGGCUUUUAAUUAUUACCUCUAGACUAUGACUGAAAUUUCAGAUACAUAUUUUAACUAAACUAAAAUUCUAUAAUUUUGUACAUCUUUUGACUUACGCGACACAUUUCGUGACUCUACAUAGUUAAGGUUCGUGACAGAUGUUUGGAUGUCUCGUAAUGAAGAAAUAUAAUAAGAUGGAGAUGAGUGACAUAAUUGUGAGUCCUCCUCCCGAUGACAUAAUUCGAGGUACAUUUAUUAUAGGACGAGAUGAUAUCGAGAAACUCAAGAAUUUAAUAUCGUCAAGACAAAUUGAGCUUGACUCAUGUAACAUCAUAACAUGUCGUUAUAUGUGGACUUGCUUGAUAAAAUGAUCAAAGGACGCAGUAGGGGUUACUGAUAUAAGUAUAGAUGAUAAUGUAAUGGAAUACUUCUCAUGUACAUUUAUAUUGCUUCUUGUGUGAAUUUGUAUUUGUGCUUUAAUUUUCUUUGAAAGAUCAGAGUUAAGUUUUUUAAAUGGUCACUCAACUAAGGGUAUAUAAUUAAUUUAAGAAAUCAUUUUGAUUUCUUUGUUUUAAUAAUCCAGAAGUCACUCGAUUAUUGGUAUUUCAAUCACAAAUCACUCAACCACUUUAGGUGAUUAUUCCAUUUAAAAAAGGGAAAAAGGACAAAUAUAUCCUCGAAUUAUCAUAAAUGGUACGUCAAUAUCCUUCGUUAUACUUUAAGGUUGUAUAUACCCUUACCGUCAAUAUUUUGGGUUGUGUAUACCCUUGAGACUAACGGCUGGACACGUGGCUACAUCUCAAUUAUUUACAUAAUUUUUUAUUAUGUUUUUAUCUAAAAUUAAUAACCCACCCAUCUUCCCUAACCCAUCCGUAAACCGAAAUAAAACACCCAUGACCCAUUUUCCAUAAUUCCCUUCAAACAAUGCUCCAUCUUCUUCUCUUCUUUAGCUCACAAAAAUUUGUUGCACGAUUCAAAAUUUCACUAACAUUAGCCAUGUUCUUUUUGUGUUUUAGAGCUCAUGGAUGAUUGCGCACAAAACCAUCAAGAUAAUUUUGUGAUUGACCACGUUACUUUUUCUAGAGAUUUAGAGAUUGGUUUGUCUUUGUCUAAAACUCGAAUGAAUGCUUUUGCUGCUAUAUUCACUCACGGGCUUAACUUUCUAUGCCAAGUCUGAGUGUUCAAGGAUUUGGCAAGGACCCUACCAACAAAAAUAGACAUAAAGACUAUCCUCUAGUUGUGUCAUAGAUGAAAUACUUCAAAUUGUAGUUGUAAUACUACUCCAAAUAAGAAUCCCUUUUCAAAUCGUUAUUGGUGCAUCUUGAUCAUCAUGUCAUCCAUGACUUUAUUAUUCAAUUGGUUUAUGUUAGUUCUUUAUGAUAUAUUAUCGAGGAUAUGACUUGGAUAAGAAGAUAUGGAGUUCAUAUAAGGGUAGAAGGUUAAUACAGUAUGGGUGAA